CCCUCGCAUCGAUGAAGAACAUAGCAAAAUGCGAUACUUGGUGUGAAUUGCACAAUCCCAUGAACCAUCGAGUCUUUGAACGCAAGUUGCGCCCGGAGCCUUCGUGCUGAGGGCACGCCAGCCCGGGCGUCACGC
rnacentral:rRNA from 1 species